rnacentral:rRNA from 1 species
ACUCCUACGGGAGGCAGCAGUGGGGAAUAUUGCGCAAUGGGCGAAAGCCUGACGCAGCAACGCCGCGUGAGGGAUGACGGCCUUCGGGUUGUAAACCUCUUUCAGCAGGGACGAAGCGAAAGUGACUGUACCUGCAGAAGAAGCGCCGGCUAACUACGUGCCAGCAGCCGCGGUAAU